UCACAGGCCUGAAGGCAACAUUUCAAACUAUAGUGACAGAGGGACAGCCUGUGACACUGACCUGUAGCACCACCUGUACUCUGACUGACAACCCCAACCCCACCUACAUCUGGAACAAGAACAGACAACGUCUCACAAACCCAAAGAACAAAACGAACUACUUGUACCUAGACCCAGUCAGCAGUGAGGAUACAGGCAGAUACUCCUGUGCUGUAGACGGCCAUGAGAAUCUCCCCUCUGCUGAAGAGACUCUCACUGUCAGAUAUGGCCCAAAGAGAGUGUCAGUAUCAGUCAGUCCUUCUGGUGAACUAGUGGAGGGCAGUUCAGUGACUCUGACCUGCAGCAGUGAUGCCAACCCACCUGUGGACAAAUACACCUGGUACAAGAAGAAUGUUACCCAACCAAAAGUGUCAGGGCAGAGUUAUAGCGUCACUAACAUCAGCUCUGAGGACAGUGGAGAAUACUACUGUGAGGCUGAGAAUACAAUUGGAGCCCAGAUAUCUACACCUCAAUUGAAAAUGGUAGCCGGUAAGAUGUGUUUUUAUUUUAAAGUUUUAAAGUUACACUAUCAGAUAACAUUCAUAUCAUUCUUUAUGCUUUAGGGAAACAAGCUUCUGUAGGAAUCAUGGUGGUGGUUCUGGUUCUCAUCAUCUGUCUCUCUGUCCUUAUGUGGUUCAGGAAGAAGGCCUCCAAAUCCACCUCCGACACAAGAGACAGAAGAGACACAGUAGACAAUGGACA